GCCGGUAUAGCUCAGUUGGUAGAGCACCUGAUUUGUAAUUAGGGUCACGGGUUCAAAUCCUGUUACCGGCUCCA
rnacentral:tRNA from 1 species